AUUGAACGCUGGCGGCAGGCCUAACACAUGCAAGUCGAGCGAGCGGCGGACGGGUGAGUAAUGUAUGGGGACUGCCCGAUAGAGGGGGAUAACUACUGGAAACGGUGGCUAAUACCGCAUACCAUCGGAUAACCCAUAUGGGAUUAGCUAGUAGGUGGGGUAAAGGCUCACCUAGGCGACAAUCUCUAGCUGAUCUGAGAGGAUGUUCAGCCGCAGUGGGACUGUGACACGGCCCAGACACCUACGGAAACGGCAGUGGGGGAUAGUGCACAAUGGACGCAAGCCUGAUGCAGCCGUGCCGCGUGUAUGAAGAAAGCCUUAGGGGUGUAAAGUACUUUCAGCGGGGAGGCGUUACCCGCAGAAGAAGCACCGGCUACCUACGUACCAGCAGCCGCGGUAAUAC
rnacentral:rRNA from 1 species